rnacentral:rRNA from 1 species
UACGUAGGGGGCAAGCGUUGUCCGGAAUUAUUGGGCGUAAAGAGCGCGUAGGCGGUCCGGUAAGUCGGCUGUGAAAGUCAAGGGCUCAACCCUUGAAAGCCGGCCGAUACUGUCGGACUAGAGUCCGGAAGAGGCGAGUGGAAUUCCCGGUGUAGCGGUGAAAUGCGCAGAUAUCGGGAGGAACACCAAUGGCGAAGGCAGCUCGCUGGGACGGUACUGACGCUGAGGCGCGAAGGCCAGGGGAGCAAACGGG